rnacentral:lncRNA from 8 species
CUAAUCAUCAGUAAUUCGUUGCUUUCAUUCCUAUUUAACUGACCAGCUUGGAGACUCGCCCAAUGUCCUCGACCAUUUCCAAGAGUGGCAGGCAGGGGGAAGACUUAUUCUCUGUCGCUCGCGGAAGAUUCCCUUUGCAACCAUCAUCACAACCCAUUCCACUCUGUUGGGACAAUACCUCUGUGCCGGAAAUGUGGACUUCUACAACAAAUUGGACAAGAUAUGGUGAUGCCGAACAGAUUGAACAUCAAGAAGUUCUCAGCCAUGCACGAGUUCCCAGAACCUUCACUCCACUAACCAGGGUCGGAUUCAGGAAUUUAUCAGGGGACACUUCUAUGGGUGCAUAAGAAUAACGUCAAAGUGGUGGUUUUCUUCAUCAUGCCAGCCAAGACCAACACCUUUAACGUGGAGAUGCUGAAGGGACAGGCAAACAGCUCUGGUACGUCUAUGCAACCCACAAUGGUGCACCUCAUGGAGUUCUGCAAAAUGUCUGCAAUAUUAGCACCAAACAUUUAAUGAAAAUAAC